AUGUUCGCGAUAACUCUGUAUCUACCCGCUUUUUAAUCUUCAGUUAUAAUUGAGUUGAUUACUGGUCAAACUCUGUUUGCCAACGACGAAGGUUUAGAACUGCGGCAUUGGCAUAAAACACUCAUAGUCAAACGUUAUCAGAAAGCAGUAUGGAAAUCACAAAGUAUUGUUGAAAACGUUGCUGCAAUAGCAGUCCUGUGUACUGACACUGCAACAAAAAGCUCUAUCACGUCGGAGAAAAUAAUGAACAAGUUGAAGAAAAUCUGCCGAACAAGCUCUGUUACUGUAUGGCACGACGUAGGGGAUGAUGAUUGUUGCGAGAUAUGCUUGGUGAAUGAACCAAUAACAG